rnacentral:lncRNA from 1 species
UUAUAUUUUGAAAGGUCUAAAAUAUUUAAAAGUAUCGUAUAUAUUUGUCAACAUAUCAGCAAAAUAUAUAAGAAUAAUAUUGUGAAGAAUCCAAUACAUUUUCUUGAUAAAUUAGUCAUUUAUCUUGAAUACUCAAAUGCAGGAUUUUAAGCCUUAUUUAUAAUCGUUUUCCUAAAAAUAUCUAUUGUUGGAUACCAAUUGUCGGAACUGGUAUUUGUGUUAAUACCGAUUAUAUAACCGAAGAUCUAAAAUAGAACAAAAUAAUAUAGAGAAGAGAUAUUGGAGGAGGAAGAAGAUAACUAAACUAAUACUUUACUAAUAAAAAGCAAAUAAUUACAUCUGAGACGACACCCUUGGCCAUGUCUAUUAUGGCUUAUUCAUCUAAUUAAUCCAUGCCUAAAUAUAUAUAGCCAUCAAAUCAACAGAUGAUAAAUCCAAUAUUACUUUGGAUAAUUACAAAUCCUAACCAUAAUCAAAUAAAAGAUUUAAACUUAUCUAUAACUAUAUUUUAAUUAAGUUUGGAUUAUUAUUUCCCUUAAUCCAAACUUCAUCUUCAAGCCGCUCUUGAACUCCAUGUAACGCGCACUUUGAUUUUGCAAUUUCUGUCGCUGUUGUUGUCGUCGUAUUCGAGUUGUACAAUAUGACGCCUAUCCAAUGAUAUUACCAUAGUUGAAAUCUUUGCCAACUGUAGUCUUGAUUAUUCACAUCAUCCUUAAAGAUCUGCGGAUUCCGAGGAGAGUUUGAUCGACGUGAAUGUUUGUUCAAUGCAUUGAUCUUGAUUUGUGCAUUUUCAUCUUCGAAGACAUCAAAAUAAUGGUAACUUUCUCCCUACUUUGCUGCAUAAUUUUUUCAUCAAUAGAAAUUUCUUUAAUCAUAUCGCCAUUGUGAAUUUUUCGUCGAUCUGAAUUGCACCGUUUUGAUCAUCAACAUACUCUUCACAAAUAUAAUCUUCUUCAUGAUUUUGAUCAGACUUUUCUUUCCAAAAUUCUUUGCAAAUUGGAAUUUCAAUAUCAUUACUAUUGGGUCGAAUUUCUUCUUCUUCUUGAAUUUCAUUCUCUUUCUGCAAAUCUUCUCCUCCAAUUUUCGAUAGCAUUCUUCACACUUCUUCUCAUGCCGUCUUAAUCGUUGAAAUUUUUUCAACUAACGAUAGAUCCACUGCUUAAAAAAUAUAUGAUAUAACUUCUCUAUCUCUUUUUCUAGAUUCUUCUUUACCAAAUUCUUUGUCAUAAUUUUUAUUCUUCACUACAUCCCACAAAUCUUGUGAUUCUAAAAAACAUCGAAUAAUAAUUUUCCAUCGUUUAAAGUUCGUUCCAUCGAACUUUGGUAAGCCAAGUUAAAUAAACCAAUUAUCUAAAUCCAUAAUAAAGACUUGAAAAUUCGAAAAAUAAGUUUCAGAUUUGUACCUUUCUGUUUGGAUGACGUUCUUAAUUCAUCGAGAUCUCGCCGAAUUUUCUGUAUUUCAGCUUGCUUACCUAGCCCUCCUGGCUAUCUAGUCAAGUUUUCUUGGAUCUCUUCAGGGGCUUUCCUUGCUUUCUCUUCGUCAAGUGUCACAACCACCUGCUGUCGUGUGUUGUGCGGAGGCCAAUUUCUUCAAAACAAUUCAUUCGCUUUGGUUUCACCUAAACGUCACCUUCGUUGAUUAGCUACGAGUCGCUUGACUUUGACGUAGCUAUCCGGUACAUUGGAUCUAUAUUCUUUUCAAAUAUGCUGUCAUCUGGUUAAUAAUUUGUAUGGUACUUUCUGGCUCUCUUCGGCUCUGAUACUAAUUGUUGGAAGCGUGAUUUUCUCUGAUACCAAUUGUCGGAACUGGUAUUUGUGUUAAUACCGAUUAUAUAAUCUAAGAUCUAAAAUAGAACAAAAUAAUAUGGAGAAGAGAUUUUGGAGGAGGAAGAAGAUAACUAAACUAAUAUUUUACUAAUGAAAAGCAAAUAAUUACAUCCGGGACGACACCCUCGGCCAUGUCUAUUAUGGCUUAUUCAUCUAAUUAAUUCAUGCCUAAAUAUAUAUAGCCAUCAAAUCGUAAUAGAUGAUAAAUCUAAUUUUACUUUGGAUAAUUACAAAUCCUAACCAUAAUCAAAUAAAAUAUUUAAACUUAUCUAUAACUAUAUUUUAAUUAAGUUUGGAUUAUUAUUUCCAACAUAUAUUUUACAUUUUGAAAGAUCUAAAAUAUUAAAAAAUAUCAUUUUUUUUCUUCUCAAACAUAAUAAAAUUACAAUAAAAAUUGUUAUUAAA